rnacentral:rRNA from 1 species
AACGCGAAGAACCUUACCAGGGCUUGACAUCCUGCGCUCACCUAAGAGAUUAGGUUUCCCAGCAAUGGGACGCAGAGACAGGUGCUGCAUGGCUGUCGUCAGCUCGUGCCGUGAGGUGUUGGGUUAAGUCCCGCAACGAGCGCAACCCUUGCCGUGUGUUGGUCCACAAGACCUCUCACGCGGGACCGCCGGUGACAAGCCGGAGGAAGGUGGGGAUGACGUCAAGUCAGCAUGGCCCUUACGUCCUGGGCUACACACGUGCUACAAUGGAACGGACAACGAGUCGCGAACCCGCGAGGGUAAGCUAAUCUCCUAAACCGUUUCUCAGUUCGGAUUGGAGGCUGCAACUCGCCUCCAUGAAGUCGGAAUCGCUAGUAACCGCAGAUCAGCUACGCUGCGGUGAAUACGUUCCCGGGCCUUGUA